rnacentral:rRNA from 1 species
GACGAACGCUGGCGGCGUGCUUAACACAUGCAAGUCGAACGGAAAGGCCCUGCUUUUGUGGGGUGCUCAAGUGGCGAACGGGUGAGUAACACGUGAGUAACCUGCCCUUGACUUUGGGAUAACUUCAGGAAACUGGGGCUAAUACCGGAUAGGAGCUCCUGCUGCAUGGUGGGGGUUGGAAAGUUUCGGCGGUUGGGGAUGGACUCGCGGCUUAUCAGCUUGUUGGUGGGGUAGUGGCUUACCAAGGCUUUGACGGGUAGCCGGCCUGAGAGGGUGACCGGCCACAUUGGGACUGAGAUACGGCCCAGACUCCUACGGGAGGCAGCAGUGGGGAAUAUUGCACAAUGGGCGGAAGCCUGAUGCAGCAACGCCGCGUGCGGGAUGACGGCCUUCGGGUUGUAACCCGCUUUCGCCUGUGACGAAGCGUGAGUGACGGUAAUGGGUAAAGAAGCACCGGCUAACUACGUG